GGGUAUCUCUUUCGAUAUGGAGUAGAAGAGCGAUGGCGCUCGCUUUGCCGCUGGGAUUCGACACGCGUGGCGCAUUGAACAAGAGCGGCUAUGGCGAUUCGGCGAUCCGAUUUGGAGAGAACUUCCGACCAGACAAAUGCUCGACGCGUCCGAUCUCGUUCGUUUUCCUGUCAAUGAAACAGUACUUUUAAGUAGCAUAACUCCACAGCAUUGGUUUCCAAGGUGGAAGAAAUUCUUGGGAGUUCCAAAGAAGCCACGCUGAGUUCUACACUAAACCUGAGUGCUGGAAGCUGGGUUUGCGUAGCUGGAUGGUUUUUCGUUUAAGCUCGCUAGCAGCAGCGUCGAGAAUUUGGAACGAACUCUCACUGGUGAUAUAUGUCGGUAUCAGAUGUUUGAGGAGGUGCUGCAGUGCAUUAAGGGUGUUUCAUUGCAAAUCCGAACGAUGUUUGCUUAUUUGAAUAACUCUCAAGUGAAAGCCGUAUCGAGCACCGUUGCGGCACUUGAGGAGAACGGAGAGCCUUACGAGGGCUAAUACAAGGACCACCAGGUACGGGUGUUGUUAGCUGUUUUACUCUCAGUGUUUUAAAAUUCGGGAAGGCAAGUACUAAUUUGGCGCUCCCACCAAUAUGGCUAUGCUGGAAGUUAGUUCACACUUGGUGAAGGUGAACGGCAGCUCCUGCACUACUGUUUGACAGGCAUGGUAGAUUCUCGCGACGUUUUCUAGACUUCGUGCGGAGGAGUUUGAUAACCUCGGACACGAACUACUUGGGACUAUUGAGCUUUUUAUACAAUAAUCUGCCGAGAAUCGAAAACGCUAUUACGAAGCUUACAGGACUUAUCAGCACCAAUGCCGGGUCGUUUUUGGUCCCGCAAAAGUAAUGAAAUGGCCAGCCUUGAGCAUCCAGUCAACAGCGUUAAAAUUUGAUAUCACCAACUGUUACCUCCUCCUGUAAUCAGCAAGAGUCACAGAAUGCUGGAUGUAUGGGCGAGACUCCACGGCCAUCUACAGGUUCUCGAACUAUAGUUUUACCUGCGGAAAGUUCAAGAUUGCCCGAAUGUCAUCUUGAGUUCUGCCAUACAAGUUCACAGCGAUAGGCAAACGAGGGAACUCUUUAAAGCCUGCCGAAGUCUUUCCAAAGUGACAAGAGAAUCUACUGCAAUCUUGAGGUUGGAAUAAUCUCACAUAUAAAAGUCAAGUACAUGCAUAAAUGCUCGACUAGAUUUCCUUUUCGGAGGCUGAAACUGUGGACGAAAUGGAUAUAGUGAUUUAUCCACUGUGCUUUUUGGAAGAUUAUCGACGUCUGAAAGUCGCGAUAACUCGAGCAAAAGGCGGACGUCGGCCCUGCGGUGCUCCAGAGCUUACGUCUUUUGCUUCGUCCCGGAUCCUCCAUUUUGGACUUACUUCCACGGGUGUUUGAAAGCGUUGAUGGCUUGCUCUCAAGGAAGACUUGCCACGGGUCAUGACUUUAACAGAAGAUCCUUUCGUGACAAGCAGUGCUACUGCUGAACGACGACGGCAGCGAGCAGACAAAGAGCUCGGGUUUCCUGUUUCAGCAGAAAACGAUGGAAAACCUGGCAAGAACAUCUGUAUUAUAUCAAAGACAAGAUGCUCGAACAAGUAGGAUUUGAUCGAGAGCGUUGCAUGGUAAGAAACUAGUUUUAUUUCGACGAUUUAGCAUUUCUACACUCGAACAUGUUUGUGUUUGAAGAAAAGAAAUAGUGCCUGCGUAGAGUAGAGCUCUUGGGGGAUUGUUCUUUCAUCAGAACAGAAACGAAAAAAAAAUAGACCUUCUCUA